rnacentral:rRNA from 1 species
AUUGAACGCUGGCGGCAUGCUUUACACAUGCAAGUCGAACGGCAGCGCGGGCUUCGGCCUGGCGGCGAGUGGCGAACGGGUGAGUAAUACAUCGGAACGUGCCCAGUAGUGGGGGAUAGCUCGGCGAAAGCCGGAUUAAUACCGCAUACGACCUGAGGGUGAAAGCGGGGGAUCUUCGGACCUCGCGCUAUUGGAGCGGCCGAUGGCAGAUUAGCUAGUUGGUGGGGUAAAGGCCUACCAAGGCGACGAUCUGUAGCUGGUCUGAGAGGACGACCAGCCACACUGGGACUGAGACACGGCCCAGACUCCUACGGGAGGCAGCAGUGGGGAAUUUUGGACAAAGGGCGAAAGCGUGAUCCAGCAAUGCCGCGUGUGUGAUGAAGGCCUUCGGGUUGUAAAGCACUUUUGGCGGGAACGAAAAGGACUGUGCCAAUACCACGGUUCGAUGACGGUACCCGCAGAAUAAGCACCGGCUAACUACGUG